GAAAACAAUAAGGUUGUAUUUCACACUAUCCUUACUCCACAAUCACUAAGUUGAAAUUGAAAUAGCAAACAAUAAAAUACACUGGCAUUGUGACUAUAUUAACCUUAAGUCCAUUAUUGAUAAGAUUGGAUACAAUACAUAUAUUAUUUUCUUUUUAGCAUAAUGUUCUGGGAUAUCAAAGAAAUAAAUUUAUUCUACUGAAUUCAGUCAAGGAUAAGAAUUUCAGGGAAUGAAUUUUUAUAUAGCAUGCUUAAUGAUGUGCAUCAUUGAGUGGAGCCAGCACUUUCGACACAUGCAGAUAGCUUAAUUUCAUUGAUAGUUAUUGUCAAUCGCAAUAACCUGAUAGUCAUCUAAAUGCCUCCUCUUAAAAUCCACACGUAGUCCCUUCUUGACAUGCAAACUGACCAAAGGAAGAAAGUGAUAUGCAACAGAGAGGAGAUGGGGCAUACAGACUACAGACAGAGAAGAAGAUGGGCAAUACAUGACAUUAAGACAUUAAGAUGGAACUUUAAUCUCUAUACUACAUGCCACGGAAUAUACCACGUUUUGCAUGCCACAGAAUAUACCACGUUUUGCCUACCAAAAAUAUGAGAUUUCCAUGCAAAGCUACUAGAAAUUUCAAAACAAGGAACUACUAACCCAUGUAACAUGCAUUAAAACCCUAUCAACCAUACUAGCUAUCAGC
rnacentral:misc_RNA from 1 species